CUGAGGGAGAUUUCACGCGUGUAAUGCAGGUGAGGCUACAGCGCAUGCUAGUAGCAAGGGUCAAAUGCUAGAGCAAGAAAUCCUGAUUAGUCAGGAAAAGUACUUUCUGCAGUGGAAAAGGUAACAGCCUGUAACCGGGAUUUGGUUGAGGAGGAGCAGAACGGAAUCACCAAGAAGACCGGAUGUUGUUUCUACAGGAAUUAUAGUACUUCCGAGUGUCUUGGAGGGAGAUGCUUCAGAUGUGUUGUCCUUUCAUUCCGGAGUCCUCCUUUGAGGGAUGAAAGAUUUUGUCUGCGGUGCCCUGGGAGCUGUGUACCCCGCUGUUUGCCAGUGUUAAAGAAGUAGAAAGAAAACAGAUAAUUCUUUGAAGUGGAAGCAGAGGUCUCCACAAAGAAGAAUUUCAAGAAACAGAAGGCAGGACGGGAAUGGAGAAAGACUGCUGUCUUGAUGGAGUGGGAGGGGCUACAUGCAGCUAAUAGACAUAAUUCAGCCAGGUAAUGUUGGAUCACUGGGGGACAAGAUGGAUAUCACUUGGCAAUGUUAUAGGGUGUGUCGUAGUGUGCCGGCACAUUUACGCAGGUUAUUUAUGCUCCAUAAUGAAGAGCAUAAUGAAAAUUGGACACAACUAUAAAUAUGAGUAGGGAAAGCGUAAAUGUGGAGGGAUAAUCAUUGAUGCAAUUAAGAUGUCGUACACAUGCAGUGUGAGCCUGGCCUCCCCUGACUUUCUCCUCUUCCUUUCACCAAGGCUGUAUUUUACCCUGAAACAUCACAUUUAAUCCGACUGGGGAUGUCAGCAUAAAUCCACUGGACUCACACAAGGCGGCUGGCAUUUUAAAUAUGUUAAUGUCAAAGCAAUAAAGUCUUUGCUUAAUCUAUUGCUGAGGUUAUUGACAACUAUUAUUAGAUUGUUAGUGGUAUUUCUUUGUCUUAAUUGGUGUGUGGAUAUGCCUUUGUGGACACAAUGCUUGCUGUGUGUUAAGUACCACCCAGUACACUAAAGCCUUCGUUUGUGCAUUCAUUUUGAAAUGAAAUAAUGGAUAUUGCAUUAAAGUGCCAAGUCGCAGCUUUAAUUUAGUAAGCUUGCAUCAAUAUUGAAAUACUGUGUGUGAAAUAAAGACCUUUUUACUCAUGUAGACCCGACUGCAAUUGUUCAAAAGUAAGUAGACAGAGUAUAUGUCGGUUUUAUCCUGCAGGUUAAAGCACUGGCACGUUCCUGCUCAGGGGUUUUGCAGUCUGGCUGGUAUUUCUUAAGAUGUAACUGUUUUUGUUUUGCAAUUUGUCAGUUAAAUGUCAGGUUCCAAAACAUAAUUAAACCCCAUAACUUUAGAGACAGAGAAGGCCAGAUACAUUAACUUUCAUAAAUGGAGAAAAGGAAACUGAUAUAGUUUAGGGAUCCAGUUCUAUUGACUUAAUUAACAAAAUUACAAAUCAGGAACUGGUAUUUCGGUAUUAAUCUACAAUUUUAUAAUUAUAACGGCAAUGUGUCCAGUUACUUUUGUACUCUGAGUGGGUUUGUUAAACAGGCUUUUUUUCCCACACACAUACUGCUUUCUAUAGGACUGCAUACCAUACUUGGCACCUUAAUGCAGUUUUGUGUUUUAUUUAGGACUAAAUGUACUGAGACACAGACUCUGAACAACAGAAUGUGAAACUGCAAAAACUUACAGUCUGGGUUGUAUAUGUGGGUGUAUGAAAGGGAAAAAACUGCUUGCACAUUUUGGUUUUCUGUCAGAACUGUCAGUUUAAGACAGAGGAAGUGAGGGAGGAAGCGUGGAAGGAGGGGGAAGUAGAGUGAGAAGAUGCAGGAGGAGAGCGAUGGAGACAGAUGAGAAUUGGAGCCCAGAAGCUGAAGUGACCCCGCUGACCAGAUGCUGAUAAACUGCCAUUACUGAGCACUCUGUCAGCUCUGCCUCUCAUAUGUCACUGUCAUCCUGCUGCACUUCACCUUUUCCCUCUCCUCUUCUUAUUUGUCUUUCUCCGCUUGUUUCUUUUUUGUGAACCCUUAUUACUUAUUCACAACUACAUAUUUAUGUUGGGAAGCAUCAUACGUCUCUUCAAGUCUUUUUACCCCUUUUUAAAAUCCCAGUGAAGAGAUAUUUACUUACCUUUGGUUCUGUUUUUCAGAUGCAUUGCCUUACAUUCAAUGUGUCACAACAGGCAUGUUCAGCUUGUGGGAAAUGACUCAGCUCUAGCCAUUAUUUUGACUGACUCAGACAGGCAGUAGGAAGAAGCAGAGGCUUAUCUCUGAAUGAAUAUCUCCUCUCUUUUUAAGAGUGGUUGCUAUGUGCCAACCAAUACUUUCUUCUGUGUUUAUAUAAGAAACAAGUUUCACUGGAUUUUUGGCUUUGUGGUUACGGGUGGUUGUUGUUAAGAUAUCCAGAAAUAGGUGCUGUGAGAUGUUCUUUAAAUCUUACCCAUGACUCUACUUCUGGCAUUACAAUAGUGGCUGGCCUAGGCUGGCCUAGGUUGUCCUACAUAUACAGUGCUUUUUAACUGUGAGUCAGAUCCCUUAAUGCAGCACAGCCUUGCUAUUAUACAGUUCUUCGUUUUUUCUAACACUGGUGGGUAACACUUUAUAGGCACCUAACUCAAGGAAUGCACCUGUGUGCUGUCUACACAGCUUUAUUUGUUCCCAUUUCUUGAGCUUAAUCUACAAAAAGUGCCAAAGAUAACACAGUUUGACAGGCACAAAAUGGUAUUUUUCCACCAACAAGGUGAUUCCCAAAGACCUCUAAGUAAAGCACACACAGAUACACGGACCUACGCUUAAUAAGUAGUGUGUCCUUCAAAAGUGAAGGACAAAAGCAGGAAAAGUACAAGAAAGAAUCUGUAAAACGGGGAUCUUGUCAAAAUGUAUUAAAUUAUGAUUGUAAGACAAGCGCCAUCAGAUUUUGAGCCACCAUGCAAUGUCAUCUGAAAAGCGUCUGAUUGGCAACCUCCUUUAUUUUUCAGCAUGAAAACGAUCCCAAACACAUUACCAAUGCAGUAAAAGCUUACCUGGAUAGAAAAACACAUAAUGGAGCACUCUCAGUCAUGGAUCGGCCUCCUUGGAGGCUGGACCUCAACAGUAUUAGGGCACUGUGAUUUCAUUUUGACAGAUAACUAUCUAUCGCAGCAAACUCAACACAAAACUAACAAAUUUGGUAAAACACAGAUUCUACCACACGUAUUAACUGCAAAACAAACGACUUGCUAGCAGUUAGUUAUGUUGUGUUGAAUUAAUGCAAUGCUUGCCAACAGACUGAGGGAGUAUUCCCAAUCCCCAGAUGUGGGAGACACUUAUGACCUUAUUGGCAUUCCCAGUAUUUUGGACUGUAGCCAAAUCGCUCCAGCAGCAGAAGAAAUAAACAAUAUAAAAAAAGUAUCUGAAAUUAAUAAUAUUGCAUGUGAAAUGGUAUCAGCAGGUGUCCGAAAACAAAGACAAUUUAAAUGUGUUUGUUCAUGAGGUUACUGACUUCUACAGUCAUCUAAUGUUUAAUGUAAUGUGUGACUUCAAAUAUAAGAAAAUAACAAAACUAUUAAACUAUUGUGAAAAAACUUUUCAGCUUUUUUCUUUUGUUCAUGGUAAAAAUAUCUAUUGUGACCAAAGGUGAUGGCACUAAACUGCCACUAUGCCAUUAAAAAGAUGGAAAAAGCUUUGUCCUUGCCUGGUAGUAGAGGCUGGUCAGAACUCCCUUAGGUUAAUCUGUCUAAUAGCAGCCAUUCUCACUGUCACAACCAGGUAAAAUAGUCACUUUCCUGGUUCAGAUGACUUUUCCCUGUCUGAGUGAAGACCAGUUUGACUUUUAAAGUAUGGGAUGUUUUGUCCUUCACCCCGCCCUGCCUUUGGUUACAGAUCUUUUAUGCAUCAGGUGUGGCUUAGACUUGAAAUGGUGUUCUACAUUUUGUUGUAAUAUAUAGGAAAAAGUGCUACAAGGGUCCUCACAAAGAUAGAAGUAGAGCGAUUUGUGUGUGCGAUGAAAAUUGAGCCACACAGACAUUGAUUUGUGUUUGGUGGAACAGAUCAAAUUGUCCCCUCAUGCCUUCACCUACUUUCCCAUGCCGGAUGGUGUAUGUGUGUGUUUUGAAGAUUAUGUGUGUAAGCGAGCGAGCGCGCAAGCAACAUGGCAUCCCGAUUCCUGGGCCAAAACCUGUCAUUUUGUGCCUGUCACAUUGUGUUAAGUGUAGCUCAUACUGCUUCCUUAAUUCCCCGCAUUCCCUUGUCGCCUCCAACACUCAUAAACAGCAUCUCUCAAAAUGGCAUCCGAUUCAUUACACCCCACCCCACACAAAGACGAGAGAAUACAAACCCACACACAUACAGCAGUUUCUGGUACAUUACCAAAUCUGAAGCUUAAUUUCCUUUCCAACCAGCCUGACUUUUAAUGUUUCAUUUUGCUGCUACGUACUCAGGCUGCAGCAUAUUCUAUUUGGUGAAUGCUUACAGAAAACACUUUAAAAUAUUAAAGUGCACAUAUUUCUUCUGCUGGAAAUCCUAUUUAAGAUUAUUAACUUCAUAGUAUUAUUAGUCAAUGAUAUUGAGCUAUAGUACAUAGUUUACCCUAUACAGAGAAGAGUAAUCAGGAACAAAGGCAAUUCAUUGAAACUUGUACAUUCCUGAAAAAUUCAUGGAUUCUUUCACAUGCUGCUAUAACUAAGAGUCCAGACAAGUCAGCUCAUCUAUCUGAAGUCUAUUUCAGCCAAAACAGGGCGAAACUGGAGGUCGGCUUUAUGUACUUCGGCUAUAGCCACUCAGGGCUUUUCAGUCUGAACAACAUAUAUGUAACCAUUGUAUUUCUGCCACACUUACAAAUGGUGAAAGGCAGAAAGUUAGAUCACGUACCUGAUCAUCUUAAAUAACUAAAAUUUAAGAAUACAAAGAAAUGCUGAGUCCUCAUGAUUUGUGUAUUCCAACUUUUUGUUUUCUUCUAUACAGCACAUGUAAAACUACUAACAGGAACAAACACCAGUUUCUCUUAU